rnacentral:rRNA from 1 species
CCAGACUCCUACGGGAGGCAGCAGUGAGGAAUAUUGGUCAAUGGGCGGGAGCCUGAACCAGCCAAGUCGCGUGAGGGAGUACUGCCCUAUGGGUUGUAAACCUCUUUUGUCGGGGAGCAAAAGCCGGACGUGUCCGGCUGUGAGAGUACCCGAAGAAAAAGCAUCGGCUAACUCCGUGCCAGCAGCCGCGGUAAUACGGAGGAUGCGAGCGUUAUCCGGAUUUAUUGGGUUUAAAGGGUGCGCAGGCGGAUUUUUAAGUCAGCGGUAAAAUCGUGGGGCUCAACCCCAUCCAGCCGUUGAAACUGGGGAUCUAGAGUGUGCGAGAAGAAGGCGGAAUGCGUGGUGUAGCGGUGAAAUGCAUAGAUAUCACGCAGAACCCCGAUUGCGAAGGCAGCCUUCCGGCGCCCUACUGACGCUGAGGCACGAAAGUGCGGGGAUCGAACAGGAUUAGAUACCCGCGUA